GACGAACGCUGGCGGCGUGCCUAAUACAUGCAAGUCGAACGCAGUGGGGACGGGUGAGUAACACGUGGGUCACCUCCCAUCAGAGGGGAUAACACUUGGAAACAGGUGCUAAACCGAUACUGAUGGAUGGACCCGCGGUGCUUUAGCUAGUUGGUGAGGUAACGGCUGAACAAGGCUACGAUGCAUAGCCGGCCUGAGAGGUUGAGCGGCCACACUGGAACUGAGACCCGGUCCAGACUCCGACGGGAGGCAGCAGUGGGGAAUAUUCGGCAAUGGACGAAAGUCUGACCGAGCAAUGCCGCGUGAGUGAAGAAGGUUUUCGGAUGGUAAAGCUCUGUUGUUAGAGAAGCGGUAUCUAACCAGAAAGCCACGGCUAACUACGUGCCAGCAGCCGCGGUAAUUC
rnacentral:rRNA from 1 species